CAGCCGCCACGGUAAUACAGAGGGUGCAAGCGUUAAUCGGAAUUACUGGGCGUAAAGCGCGCGUAGGUGGUUCGCCAAGUUGGAUGUGAAAUCCCCGGGCUCAACCUGGGAACUGCAUCCAAAACUGGCGAGCUAGAGUAUGGUAGAGGGUGGUGGAAUUUCCUGUGUAGCGGUGAAAUGCGUAGAUAUAGGAAGGAACAUCAGUGGCGAAGGCGACCACCUGGACUGAUACUGACACUGAGGUGCAAAAGCGUGGGGAGCAAACAGGAUUAGACCCCCGUAGUCCCUGUCUCUUAUACAC
rnacentral:rRNA from 1 species